UACGUAGGGUGCAAGCGUUUGUCCGGAAUUAUUGGGCGUAAAGAGCUCGUAGGCGGCUUGUUGCGUCGACUGUGAAAACCCGCGGCUCAACCGUGUGGCUUGCAGUCGAUACGGGCAGGCUAGAGUUCGGUAGGGGAGACUGGAAUUCCUGGUGUAGCGGUGAAAUGCGCAGAUAUCAGGAGGAACACCGGUGGCGAAGGCGGGUCUCUGGGACGGUACUGACGCUGAGACGCGAAAGCGUGGGGAGCGAACAGG
rnacentral:rRNA from 1 species